UACAGAGGUCUCGAGCGUUAGGCGGAAUCACUGGGCUUAAAGCGUGUGUAGGUGGAUCGUUAAGUACCUUGUGAAAUCCCACGGCUUAACCGUGGAACUGCUUGGUAUACUGGCGGUCUUGAGCCACUUAGGGGCUACCGGAACAAAUGGUGGAGCGGUGAAAUGCGUAGAUAUCAUUUGGAACGCCAAUGGUGAAAACAGGUAGCUGGGAGUGUGUUGACACUGAGACACGAAAGCCAGGGGAGCAAACGGG
rnacentral:rRNA from 1 species